rnacentral:misc_RNA from 1 species
UUUCCGUAGGUGAACCUGCGGAAGGAUCAUUAUUGUAUAACCGAGGUCCGAGGGCUGUCGAUGACCCGGAAGGUCGUAUACGCCCGAUUGCCCUCACACACAUCCAUCGCACCCCUAGGUACACCACCGCGACAGUCCCACUUAACCCUCUUCGGACUAGGGCUUACGUGUUGCCUCAAACUUGAUAUCCAGUAUGUAAUGCAUUUGUUGUUUUUUCCAUCUGCCAGUCAAUACAACUUUCAACCACGGAUCGCUUGACACUGCCAUCGAUGAAAAACG